rnacentral:rRNA from 1 species
AGGAUUAACGCUGGCGGCGUGCAUGAAACAUGCAAGUCGAGCGCGGUGUGAUGCGGGGUAACCCAAUUCACAUCUAGCGGCGAACGGGUGAGUAACACGUGAGCAACCUACCUUUGAGUUGGGGAUAGCCCUGGGAAACCAGGAUUAAUACCCGAUGUGGUCACAACAGGACAUCCUGAUGUGAGUAAAGGCGCAAGCCGCUCAAUGACGGGCUCGCGGCCUAUUAGCUUGUUGGUGGGGUAACGGCCUACCAAGGCGAUGAUGGGUAGCUGGUCUGAGAGGACGAUCAGCCACACUGGGACUGAGACACGGCCCAGACUCCUACGGGAGGCAGCAGUUAGGAAUUUUCCGCAAUGGGCGAAAGCCUGACGGAGCAACGCCGCGUGAGUGAUGAAGACCUUAGGGUUGUAAAGCUCUGUCGGAGGGGAAGAACACAAUGACGGUACCUCCAAGAAAGCCCGGCUAACUACGCGCCAGCAGCCGCGGUAAU